rnacentral:rRNA from 1 species
UACGUAGGGGGCAAGCGUUGUCCGGAAUCAUUUGGGCGUAAAGAGCGUGUAGGCGGCUUGGAUAGUCUGGUGUGAAAGUCUUGGGGCUCAACCCCAAGCGGUCACUGGAUACUUCCAAGCUUGAAUCCGGGAAGAGGAGAGUGGAAUUCCUGGUGUAGCGGUGGAAUGCGCAGAUAUCAGGAGGAACACCAACGGCGAAGGGCAGCUCUCUGGUACGUGAUUGACGCUGAGACGCGAAAGCGGUGGGUAGCAAACAGG